rnacentral:rRNA from 1 species
AAAUUGAAGAGUUUGAUCAUGGCUCAGAUUGAACGCUGGCGGCAGGCCUAACACAUGCAAGUCGAACGGUAACAGAAAGCAGCUUGCUGCUUUGCUGACGAGUGGCGGACGGGUGAGUAAUGUCUGGGAAACUGCCUGAUGGAGGGGGAUAACUACUGGAAACGGUAGCUAAUACCGCAUAACGUCGCAAGACCAAAGAGGGGGACCUUCGGGCCUCUUGCCAUCGGAUGUGCCCAGAUGGGAUUAGCUUGUUGGUGGGGUAAC